rnacentral:misc_RNA from 1 species
UGGCUCUCCCAUCGAUGAAGAACGCAGCGAAAUGCGAUAAGUAAUGUGAAUUGCAGAAUUCAGUGAAUCAUCGAAUCUUUGAACGCACCUUGCACCCUUUGGUAUUCCGGAGGGUAUGCCUGUUUGAGUGUCAUUGAAUCAUCAACCUCUCUAGCUUUUUGGUUAGCAGAGUGCUUGGAUGUGAGGGUCUUGUCAGAGGCAACUCUGACUCCCUUUAAAUGUAUUAGUGGGCUUUCUUGCGAAAUAGGCUUCAAUUUGAUAAUAUCUAUGUUGUCGCCAUAUAUGCAUUGAAACCGCUUCAAACCGUCUUAGGACAAUCUCUGACCAUUUGACCUCAAAUCAGGUAGGACUACCCGCUGA